rnacentral:rRNA from 1 species
GACGAACGCUGGCGGCGUGCUUAACACAUGCAAGUCGAACGGUGAAGCGAGUGCUUGCACUCGUGGAUCAGUGGCGAACGGGUGAGUAACACGUGAGUAACCUGCCCAUCACUCUGGGAUAAGCACUGGAAACGGUGUCUAAUACUGGAUACGACCAACCCUUGCAUGGGGUGUUGGUGGAAAGAUUUAUCGGUGAUGGACGGACUCGCGGCCUAUCAGCUUGUUGGCGGGGUAAUGGCCCACCAAGGCGACGACGGGUAGCCGGCCUGAGAGGGUGACCGGCCACACUGGGACUGAGACACGGCCCAGACUCCUACGGGAGGCAGCAGUGGGGAAUAUUGCACAAUGGGCGAAAGCCUGAUGCAGCGACGCCGCGUGAGGGAUGACGGCCUUCGGGUUGUAAACCUCUUUCAGCAGGGAAGAAGCGAAAGUGACGGUACCUGCAGAAGAAGCACCGGCUAACUACGUG